AAAUGGGAUGGAUUUUUUUUUUUUAAGCUUUUGGUUCUCUCACAAAACUUUUGCCUUCCCCCAAGAAACUUUUGUGUUCCCUCGCAAAACCUGUUAUGAGUUCGGUCAAACACUUACUGUUUCUUUUCCUGCUGAUAGUGGCUCAGACAGCUCCAUAGGUUCACAAUGGAGCGGUUCAUAAAGUUUUAUUUUGAACUUGGACACAAUAAAGAAAUGUGGUCUGUGCUUAGUUCGAGGCACGGUUCUGACGGAAAUGAAAGACACCUGAAAAGGAUAAUAUGCAAAAGUGCGUUGUUUCUACGAAAAAAAUUACUCAAGUGAUGCUGUGAAGAUACAAGUGCGAACCACCACACAGAAGUCUCUUGCGAAACCUGUGUUCACAACACAACAAGUAGGCAAUCUUUGCGAGGGAAUGCAAAUGUUUCUCAGGGGAACGCCAAAGUUUUGCAAGAGAAUGCAAAAGCUUUGAGGUUUUUUUUCACCCAUCCCAAAUUUUUUCCACCACCAUGUCCCUUUAGGGACUCCGUACUUUCGUGUAAUAUGAUCUGAAAUCUCUGCUGGAUUUGAGUGUUUCACAGUAACACAGUAGAUGAACAUGAUGUGUUGAAAGUUUAUUUGCUGUUCCUCUCUGUUACAUCAUCAUGACUCACACAUUUAUUCCAUCAUGAUGUCAUGAUGCAAAUCCAGAGUGCUGUGUGUCCACACGGUAUUUAUGUUCAGCUGAACUGAGUGGAGCAGUCGAGUCUCAUCAUCACUCACCAUGAAGAUCCCACUCUCCUUCUUCCUGUUGCUAAUCAGCCUCAUCACAGGUAUUCAGUGUCAAAGUCUGGAGUCUAUUCCCACUGGUGCAGUGGUGAAAAAACCUGGAGAAACUCUGAGUCUUUCCUGUAAAGGAUCUGGGUUUAACUUUGGUGACUAUGGCAUGCACUGGAUCAGACAAGAAGCUGGAAAAGCACUGGAAUGGAUUGGGGUUAUCUGGUAUGAUGCCAGUAAAACGAUAUAUGCCAAACACAUUGAGGGACGUUUGGAAAUUACCAGAGACAACUCCAAAAACCUGGUGUAUCUGCAGCUAACUGGUUUGAGUGCACAGGACUCCGCUGUGUAUUACUGUGCACGAGACUCACUCUGACACAACAGACUCCAGAGCUGUACAAAAACUUACACAAGCACGUCCUCAUGAGCUGUAAAUAUUCCCUCAGCAAGGAACUGAACCCCAGUGACCUUUAUUUUAAACAUCAUUAUAUUCGGCACUCAGAUUUUACUUUUUCAUUCCAAACACGUGUGCAAACUCCUCAAGCUUUUAUUAAUAAAAAUCCCAUGGAAUUAAUUAUGAUAUGAACGCAUUACAGAAUUUAAUCAUGGAUUAUGAUCAUGUGGAAGUGAAAAUGCAAAGUGUAAAUACAUGUUAGUAAGUGUUUUGUGAAGACAAAUACUGUAUUUUAGACAAAUAAAAGCACAGGGAGACUCGAGGCAAAUAAACUCUAGGAAAAAGAUUGAUGUUAUUUCCAGGGAUUAAAUUAAAUGUACAUGUUUUGU